UACAGAGGUGGCAAGCGUUGUUCGGAAUUACUGGGCGUAAAGCGUGCGCAGGCGGUUUUGUAAGUCUGUCGUGAAAUCCCCGGGCUCAACCUGGGAAUUGCGAUGGAGACUGCAAGGCUAGAAUCUGGCAGAGGGGGGUAGAAUUCCACGUGUAGCAGUGAAAUGCGUAGAGAUGUGGAGGAACACCGAUGGCGAAGGCAGCCCCCCUGGGCUAACACUGACGCUCAUGCACGAAAGGCGUGGGGAGCAAACA
rnacentral:rRNA from 1 species